CAUAUACUCCCUCCGUCUGGAAAUACUUGUCAUUCAAAUGGAUGUAUCUAGAUGUAUUUUAGUUUUAGAUACAUCCAUUUUUAUUCAUUUUGAUGACAAGUAAUUUUGGACGGAGGAGUAUAUU
rnacentral:pre_miRNA from 1 species